GGAGAAACGUGUAAUCACCCAAACAACCAUUUUUACCCAUUUCACCCCCUCUGGAUCUGUGUCGCAAGUCUGCCGUCAGGUUAUCUGUCUUUCACUGCGGAUACCGUGAAGGGAGGCCUGGCCGUGAAGAAGACACCAAGAGGAGGAAGAUGAAAGCUGGAUGCCCAGGAGAAGAAGAAGUCAUCACAUGCCAAAAACACAUUACUCCUGAAGUACAAUUUGCAUGUGAGUUUUAUUAUUAGGACUUCAGUCUCACAAAAAACAUGGCAGGCAAUUUGCACAGGCAUUUUUACAUUACACGUUGCAAGAACGGCAGAUUCACACAAGAGUAAAAUUUCAGUUUUCUUGUUUAUUACAAGUCAUAUAUCAAGCUUAAUUAUGAUACCUUAUGGUGCAUAUAAUGCUUAUGCUGAUAUAAUGCAUGAUUAAGCAUUAUGUCUUAUACAUAUGACAGUCACAAAGUGUUGCAAAAUCUCAUCUUGGUAUGGACCACGAUCUUGACUCCAGCCUUCCCCUUUCAUUUAUAAAAACAUACAUUUGUACAUUUUGCACAAGCACACACACAAUAACAA